rnacentral:rRNA from 1 species
UACGAGGGGGCAAAUGUUGUUCGGAAUCACUGGGCGUAAAGGGAGCGUAGGCGGGUUCUUAAGUAAGGUGUUUAAUCCCGGGGCCCAACCCCGGACCGGCACUUUAAACUGGGAAUCUUGAAUAGUGGAGAGGUCGGUGGAAUUGGAGGUGUAGCGGUGGAAUGCGUAGAGAUCUCCAAGAACACCAGUUGCGAAGGCGGCCGACUGGACACAUAUUGACGCUGAGGCUCGAAAGCAUGGGGAGCAAACAGG